rnacentral:rRNA from 1 species
GCCUGAAGCUGAACCACCUGAACAUGGCCGAUCUCGUCUGAUCUCGGAAGCUAAGCAGGGCGGGCCACGGUUAGUAUUUGGAUGGGAGACUGGGAAUACCGGGUGCUGUAGGCU